UGUAGAAAACAAAAGAAGCGCUACAAUCGUUACAGGAUCUUGUGGCAGAUGCUUUAUUGGGUGUCCAACCGGACAGGAAGUCCGUCAGUGUACAGCAGAUGAUUUCAAGAACAACCGUGUGAUUUGUGAAUGUACACCCAUAUCAGGGAGUAAAAGAGGCGUUUUGAACGAGGAAUAGGUAUGGUACUUGCUGGACGCAUUCUGAUAUGGUUGUUGUUUUUUCGGAAAUAACCAUUAGUGGAUUGGAUUUAAC